rnacentral:sRNA from 1 species
CCACCCCUCCGCCAGCUUCCAGUCUCCAGGGGCUCACUUGAGGCUUCUCUUGUCAGUUAUUUCAGAAGAACCGAGGACUUAGAUAGCCUUGGAGAGUUCCAACAUGGUAGCCGCUCUACCUUGGGCCAUCCCUUCUGUGCCUAGCACCCCUUGCAUAGUCACAGAAGGCCAAUUUAAGGCCUUUGUCUGCCACCUGGUCCAGACUCUCCCGAGAGUGAACCCGUCAGGUUCUCCGCCCGAUCCACCACACCCUGUUGCUCUCCCGCUUCACAGAUGAGAAAACUGAGGUCUGAAAGGAAGGCUACAGUGCAAAAUCCUUGGCAGGCUGUCACUAAGCCUGUCUAGCACAACACCCAUUCAUGUACGCUCUGCCUUUCCUGCAGGACUAACAGGUUGGUCCUGCUUCUGUCCACCAGCCUUCCCAUAGGCACUGAUCAGGCCAACAGAAAGGACCGUAGAAGCCCAGGCGGCACCAACCGUAUGCCAGUCACAAGUCUGUGCCUGUUCCUUCCUAUUCUGGACUUCUCCACACUUUCUUCUGAGCUGGGCCAAAGUGGAAUCAAUGGUCAUGGUGCUACAAUCUUAGGGCCAGUAGGGGUCACACAUGCCCUAUUCCCCCCACCCCCACCCCUUCUUUGCACACAGCCUAAAACAGCAAUCUCACCAUUUCACCUGUGGCCCUUUCUACCUAGACAGCUCAGGAUCCUCAGAGACCAGACCACCACCGUGGUUUUAUUAUAGUGAGCACAGUCUGUCUUUCUCUGUUCCUUACACCACCAACCUUCCCAUAGCCACUGAACAAUGACCUUUCGUCUCACUCACUGUUCCAACCUGAAAACAAAUGAAAGCCCCAACUAAUUUGAAGCCAGACGUUCUGUUUAAAGAAGUGAUCCACAGAUUUUACUUUGUCCACACAACAGUUGUAUGGGGGAGGGGUUCAUUGUACCCAUUUCAAAGAGGAGAACACUAAGUCUCAGGGAGGUUUGGUGACUUGCCUAAGGUUACAUAACCAAUGAUCAUAAGAGUUAGGAUAAUAUAUAAACCCAGGCUGGUUUGGGUCCAAAGCCUGUUUUCUUAACCACUGAGCAAGACAGCCCUGCUCCCAACUUGAAGCAAAUCUGGUCCACAGGAAAUUGCUGCUAGCUGAAGCCCUCAGAAGUAGAAAGGAUUCUCCAAGGUCAGGGCCCUGCCUUGGAGACAGAAGUCAGGGCCCUUUUGAGACUUCACCAUAGAAUCUGAGUAUCGGGAGGAUAUUAGGAUCCAUAGCCUGGGUGGGUAGAGUGGCUGGCACUUGCCUUUAAUCCCAGCUCGUAGGCAGCAGAGACAGGAAGAUCUCUAUGAGUUCAAGGACAGCUUCAACAUUGGAAGUUCUAGGCUGGCCAAGACUAUAUGGUAAGGUCCUAUUCAAAAACAACAACAACAACAACCCAAAAGGAAAUUCUUGCAGAGAAAAACCCCAGUUUGGUCUUGUCACUAGUGCUGUUGAGACAGAGUAUGUGUUGCCCCCUCUGCCUCAGGCCUGCCUCUAUGGGUCCAGCACCCCUAGAAUACCCGCAGAUGGCCUGGGAAGUUACCGAGUUCUAGCCUCUACCUCCCUCGGCUGCCCUCCCUGCCCAUCCUUACCCCCCUACUCCUACCCUCCCCCCACCAGCCUCAUCUAGGGCUGGUGCCAUAGCAACUGAGAGCACCAGGCCCUGGCAGCCAAGGAGCCCCUGAGAGGGGUCCCGGGCUGUGGCUGGGAGGAGUGCAGCAGGCGCAAACAAGCAAACCUUCUGUUUCUCUGGCUGCUACCAUCGGGAUCAGCCGUGGGCUGGGGGGCCUCACGGAGAAUGUGUUCUCCGAGCCAAGUGGGCAGGGGGCAGGCAGGCCUCGAAUCCCAAGCCUGGAAGACCAGCACACGGCCUUCCCCCACCAGCCCAUAGCCCACAGAUCAGGCAGGAACUGCUGGCGAAGGAGAAACCCCGCCACUGAUCCGUGCCAAUUAUAGAACAUUGAGAUUCUCCUCAGAGCCCUCCUGGGCACUGAAUAGGGAGGGAAAAUGUCCACGUUUCCUUCCCCCUCGCCCUCAGACACAUUCAGCAUCUCUCCCUUAUCCCUUCCUGCUUCACCCUGCUCUGUUAACUUGCCUUCUUCGUGUCUCAUUCCCCAGGCCUUAAAACAGGCUAUAAACCAGGCCUUUACACUCAGACACUGGGGCUGGGGCUGAAGUUCACACAAGCAGAUACUUGGAGGAGGGCCUAGUACCCCCAUGUGAAAUCAGAGAGCACCUUCUUCGUCCCUCUCCACCCACAGGAGAAGUCAUUCAUUCAGCCAGUCUGAGGUGCAGAGCUGAGACCUAGACAAGCUUGCUCAAGAGAAGAGAGGCAGGUGAUACAGAAGAUGGCUGAGGAAGGUCCAGAGAAGGGCUAUGUGGGAAGUGGGAGCCACCCAUAGUAUGAGAUCGCAGCAGCUCCACUCCACUGUGCUACCCUGAGGUUCAGUGAGAAGUGUUGUUAGCCACCCACGGAAAAGCUAAAUCUGAUAGGUAUCUCCCUGUCCAUGGCUAUCAGCUAAGCCUUCUCUAGACCUCAGCUUGAGUUUCCACAAAUCACGGGACAAACCUAAUGGUUAUUUGGGAUCUCUCCAAAUUCCCAGUGUAAGACUGAGCCUAUGGUCAGUGCCCCGCUGAUGCUUACACAGCACAGGACAGAGUGAGUGACUAUGCAGAGUGAGAUCUUCUCUUCCUCAGGCCUUGUCCUCAGCUAUUACCUAGUGGCAGUAUUUUCUAGGGUGGAAACUGGAUUGGGCAGACAAGGGUGACUCUUUUCCUCUUGGUGAUAAGACAGGCAGCUGUUGGGAGCAGAACAGACAGACCAGAUGCAUGGUAUCCUGAAGCCAGUGAGCUAUCCCUGAUGCUACCCAGGGCAAGGAGGUGGCACGGGAGCUCAGGCCACCUGGGAGAGCUUUUCCAUCAUAAAACCACUUUGUCCACACCAAAUCUCAGUCCUCCUACCUGGCCGCUCUGUGGCAGCUCUGAGGUUAGCCUGUCUCUGUGUUUCCAGAUGAGAGCCUUCUGCUACGCCAGUUCAAGGUGAUGAAGAGCCUAUGACUUACUCCACUGAUCAGUAAACAGUAGCCAUUAUGAUUCUGUGAGGUUCGGCCUCUGGGGUUUAGUUGGGUUCUACGACCGAUGACUCCAGGGCAGGUAUUCUGUUUGAGUGACCUUUGGAAAGUGAGGCGGCAUCUGGGGUGAAGGGCAGUAUCAGGUCUGAUCGACUAGAGCUGAAGUGGGUCAGCCAAGUGAUAGGUGACAGGCAGCGGAGGAAGAGAUGGCCUGGGGCACUGGGUGAGCAUUUGGGCUUUGCCUUGGACAUAUCAACGAAUCGUUUUUUUCUGGGGUUUAACAGUAAUGGCGGAUGGCUAGCUACUGAAGGGACAGCGCUGUCCAUCACAGAAUGGAGAAGCUGGAACAUCCAGCAGAUGAAAGGGUCAAGCAUCAAGACAUCAAACGGGCGCACGCCAAGGCAGAAGGAGCGAGGGUAUUAAUGUGAUUAAAGCUGUACACAGACUUACUUUGAUUUUCACCCACCUCCAACAGGCUAAGCAUUAUGGGUGCCCCUGAGAAAGUGCUUGGGAGUAAAGAGCCUUGGGGCCAGGUCUGGGUGGCGAGGAAGCAGUUUUUCCUGAGUCUGGGACCCUAAGCCUUGUGGGGGAGGGAUACCUGGAGGGUAUCUGUGCAAGUGGCAAGUGUGUGAAUUCUAUAUUGCUCCCACAGGGGUAGCUCCCUGGGGGUCCAUUCCCACUGCUCCUUGUUAGUGCCCCUCUUUGUUUUGGACCAAAGCCUGCUUCCUCUUCCAAAGGAAAGGAUCUACAGGUCAUUCUUACACAGUCCUCAGCCUCCUUCCCAGCCCUGCUUGCUCUCAGGGAAAUAGGCAUGCAGACACACCCUGGGACGGGAAACUGGUACAUUAAAGGGGCCUCUCCAGGUUAGAAAGGUCUCUCCUCCUCAUUGCAGGUUAAGGUUUUCCAUUAGCAGCCAUUGAUCCAGACCUCUUUCUGCAAUGUGUAGAGAAAGGGUAAGAAGGGAAAAAAAAAAACAAAACCCUUUCAUUGUAAAGUUAAAUAUGCAUGAUCCUUGAGUACACAGCAGGGCCUGUGCGGCUGCCAAUCUAGGCUGGCAGGGCCUGGAAUCCUGGAAUUGUUCUGUGGUGGCAGGGAGUUUAGUGAUCAUCGGGGUCAACCUCUUUGUGCAACUGAGAGAGGACUGAAGGCCACGGUCACAUGGCACUCUGGGAUUUGAGCCCCUCUCUGGAAUGCUGAAGACAGAUGAGGCAAGCCCUUGGAGUUUAUACUGGGUCCCAGACCCUACUCAGCCUCUCCUCAUGAGGCCCUGAAGCCAGAAACACCCAAAUGCUAUUCCCAGACCCUUGAUUUCCUAUCUGUGGGACUCUGAUAAAGCCUCCUCAGGCACUUCCUCAUCUGUAAGAGGGGGAGGAUUUGUAUCUACUCCUUAAGUUUGCAAGAUUUAGUUAGGCUGGCGAAUGUGUCUGAGCUUUCUGAAUGUCAAGCUCGAAGAACCAACGAGAGAACUUCAAGGUUUCUUCAAGGCACAAACAAGGUUAAAACAUACACACACAACAACUAUUCAGAGCUGGUCCUGUUCACACUAGCUGAGAUGCCACAGAGGGACCCUGGGGAGCAAUGACUCCUUUCUCCUACCUAAUUGCUUCCAGGGAGGGCAGACUACGAGAAAGAAGUCCCAUUGCAAGGACUCACUGCCCAGGGUCCAGAGCCAUCUUUCUGGAAUGUCCGGUGCCUUCCUCUCUCUCUUCCCAUUCCACCACACCAAGCAGCCCAUCAAAAACAGCCAGAUUCCUUCUUCUAGCAUGAGGGCAACUGGUCUGGAGCCAGGACACCUAUCAGACAUAGCCCAAAGGCAGCUAGUCUCAAACAAUCCUGUAUACAGAUACCAAGUUUCUAGGUCCCUUCCACAGCCAGAGGUUUUUAGGGCUAUAGAUCAUUUUCCUAUCUGGAUGCUGAUGCACAGGAAGUAGAGAGAGUACUGGCUGUCCUCAGCUGUGGCCACAGCUUGUAGUAAUCAGGUUAACAUCGCAGAUCUUGUUGGUUAAGCCCACAAACUGUCACACCCUUCACAGAGAAGACUGGGGCCCAGCCAACAGUAAACAUCAUGCAUUAACACCUGACCAGGCAUGGUAACACACACUAUUGGUCCUAGCACUCAGGAGGCAGAGACAGACAGAUUUCUGGGAGUUUGAGACCUGUAUAGUGAGUGUCAGUAUGGUCAGAGUCGGGGACUUCAUAGAGAGACCCUGUCUCAAAACGAACAGUUAACACCUGGUGUGGAUCUGCGCGCUCACAACCCCUAGGUAUGGAGCAGUCCAGGGCUAGCCACAGGGUGCUUAUGUAAGAAUGGGCUUCUGACUCUGAAUCCCCUGGGCUUUCCGCUGCCUCCCAACAUCUGCUAGCAAUUACAAGUCCAGCUUUUUUUCCCACAGAGGAAAGAGGGCUGCUGAUAACCCCACACUGCCAUGCUGUUGUCUGAAGCGCCCGCCAGACAGCCUCCCUCCUAGAUCGGGACCAGACAUGGGGGUCUUGAAGCAUCAAGGCCUGAUGCUACACUGUCUGCUGGGGAUGAUGGAAUCCAGAAGGGAGCUCUGCAGGAGGAGGGAGAUCGGCCUGAAGAUGAUGCCAGGGCCAUAAGGCACAGCCUUUGGGUUUACUUGCACCUCAGCCUGAACGCUCGCUCUGCUGUGCGAGCCUAGAGCCUCCGUUUCCUCGUCUGUAAACAGGGGUAGCAAAACUGGCCCUGAAGCCUCGCUGUAAGGAAUACAAAGUAGACGUGCAACAGGCUCACCCGUGACGGUGACUCUGUGACUGCCUCUCCCUGGAGACAGGGAGAGGACUGAUCACUUUAGAAAGAUCUGUUGGAGGCUUCUGGGAAUCCUUCCUCCUGUACACCACAUUCCCAUUGCCAACCUGGGGCUGGGCACACUAUAGCGGGCAGGGGUGGGUGGGGCACAAGGCAGCAAGAGCCUGGUCCACACGGGCUGUGCUGUGCAAACAGAGGCAGAGAGGCCAGGUGGUAUCGUGCUAUUGGGAAAGGCACGGCAGGCACCCGAAGACUGGAGGAACCAGGGAGGGCUGCCUGGAAGAGAUAUGGUUAGCGGGUCCAGGAGAGGGAAGGGAUGAGGAAGAGCAUUCCAAGGGGGGUGGGGGGGAGGGCAAAAGCCCCAAGGCAGGGUGGUGUAAAUUCCUUUCACAAAUGCUGGAAUCUAACCAUCUGGAAGUAAGAAACCAGGCUGGAACCUAAGACCCAGGUCUGUCUGGGGCUGGGGGUGGAGGAAGCUUACAGUUACUUCAGCCCCGCUACUGGGCUGUGGCUACAGUUAGGUGUCUGUCACAUGAACAUAGAGGAAGAAAUCAUCCCUGCUUCAGGAAGCAGGUGAGCAUCACAGGGGACAUUCAGAGUGCCGGGUUCCGGUCCUUCUGCAGGGAGGAGGUGGGGCUUCCCAGACUAUAGACACUGGGAAGAAACAGAGGGAUCUGAGCAAGAGGGAAGUGUCAUCAGACUCAGUUCAGAUUUGAGGUUAGAGUGGAGCAGGAGUGCCAAGGGAGAGAACAAAUAGAGAAACGGACUGUGAGAGAGGGAGACGGCCCAGCUACAAUCUCUCUCCACAGAGGAGCCCCCAGAUCUGACAGCCCAGAACUAGACCCCACCCCAGACACAUGACCACUAGGCGGGUUUGUAAACUUCCCUCCAUCCAGAACUUUGAGACCCAGAAUUUUCUCAGUGGCUAAGGGUUUGGAAGGACGUCUUAGGAAUCUGGAAAAUUUGCAAAUCCAUUUAAAAUCUCCAAAGUCUGCCUGGCGGUUGA